GCUCAGGGAGGGUUUAUGGGGCGGUGACAUGUAACCUGAUAACCCCAAGGAUAUGGAGGGGGAGGGAGCUUGGAGGGUUAGGAAGCGGAGUUCCACGGUGUGAUUCACGCGUACAGGAUCACUCCGGCCGCUGCGUGGUGGCUAGAGUGGAGGCAGAGAGGUCAGCCAAGUGGCUACCAUAGUGUCCCAGCUUGCUACCUGCAGAUGGCGCUCAUCAUCUCAUCCAAACUGCUCCGGACCCCUGCAUGCGGAGGAGGGGAGGACAAGCGCCCUCAGCCAAACUUGGUGACCGUUUCUCCCCAGGGCCUUUCCAUCUGAUCCCAAACCACAAGUAAAAUCAGCAUUCCUCCUCUCCCACUCUCCCCUGAGUUUGGGGUUCCAGAACUCAGCAAAAAGUUUCUCUUUUUCCUCACAUAAUUAUUGUAUAAGAAAUAAAGUCAGAGGCAUUUCUGGA